UACGAAGGGGGCUAGCGUUGUUCGGAAUUACUGGGCGUAAAGCGUGCGCAGGCGGCUUCUCAAGUCAGGGGUGAAAGCCCAGAGCUCAACUCUGGAAUUGCCUUUGAGACUGAGUGGCUUGAGUACGAGAGGGGUGAGUGGAAUUCCCAGUGUAGAGGUAGAAAUUCGUAGAUAUUGGGAAGAACACCGGUGGCGAAGGCGGCUCACUGGCUCGUAACUGACGCUCAUGCACGACAGCGUGGGGAUCAAACAGG
rnacentral:rRNA from 1 species